GAUGGAACGCAGCGAAAUGCGAUAAGUAAUGUGAAUUGCAGAAUUCAGUGAAUCAUCGAAUCUUUGAACGCACAUUGCGCCCCUUGGUAUUCCGAGGGGCAUGCCUGUUCGAGCGUCAUUAUAACCCCUCAAGCUCAGCUUGGUGUUGGGGCCUGCUGCACUGGCAGCCCUUAAAAUCAGUGGCGGCGCCAUCUGGCUCUAAGCGUAGUAAUUCUUCUCGCUAUGGAGUCCUGGUGGAUGCUUGCCAUCAACCCCCAAUUUUUCUAUGGUUGACCUCGGAUCAGGUAGGGAUACCCGCUGAACUUAAGCAUAUCAAUAAGCGGAGGA
rnacentral:misc_RNA from 1 species